rnacentral:rRNA from 1 species
GGCUAGAGUUUGAUCAUGGCUCAGGACGAACGCUGGCGGCGUGCUUAACACAUGCAAGUCGAACGGACCCCGGCAACGGGGUUAGUGGCGGACGGGUGAGUAACACGUGAGCAACCUGCCCUGUACAACGGGAUAACACAGAGAAAUUUGUGCUAAUACGGUAUAAGACCACACGGAGGCAUCUCUGAGGGGUAAAAGCUGAGGCGGUACAGGAGGGGCUCGCGGCCCAUUAGAUAGUUGGUGAGGUAACGGCCCACCAAGUCGACGAUGGGUAGCCGACCUGAGAGGGUGAUCGGCCACAUUGGAACUGAGAUACGGUCCAAACUCCUACGGGAGGCAGCAGUGGGGAAUAUUGGGCAAUGGAGGCAACUCUGACCCAGCAACGCCGCGUGAAUGAAGAAGGCCUUCGGGUUGUAAAGUUCUUUAAUGGGGAACGAAGAAAGUGACGGUACCCCAAGAAUAAGCCACGGCUAACUACGUGCCAGCAGCCGCGGUAAUACGUAGGUGGCAAGCGUUGUCCGGAAUGACUGGGCGUAAAGGGAGCGUAGGCGGCGCAACAAGUUAGGAGUGAAAUCCCGGGGCUUAACUCCGGAACUGCUUUUAAAACUGUUGUGCUUGAGUGAUGGAGAGGAAAGCG